GACGAACGCUGGCGGCGUGCUUAACACAUGCAAGUCGAACGGUAAGGCCCUUCGGGGUACACGAGUGGCGAACGGGUGAGUAACACGUGGGUGAUCUGCCCUGCACUUCGGGAUAAGCCUGGGAAACUGGGUCUAAUACCGGAUAGGACUCCGGACUGCAUGGUCUGGGGUGGAAAGCUUUUGCGGUGGGGGAUGGGCCCGGGGCCUAUCAGCUUGUUGGUGGGGUGAUGGCCUACCAAGGCGACGACGGGUAGCCGGCCUGAGAGGGUGACCGGCCACACUGGGACUGGGAUACGGCCCAGACUCCUACGGGAGGCAGCGGUGGGGAAUAUUGCACAAUGGGCGCAAGCCUGAUGCAGCGACGCCGCGUGAGGGAUGACGGCCUUCGGGUUGUAAACCUCUUUCAGCAUCGACGAAGCGAAAGUGACGGUAGGUGCAGAAGAAGGACCGGCCAACUACGUGCCAGCCGCCGCUGUAA
rnacentral:rRNA from 1 species